AGAGUUUGAUCCUGGCUCAGAUUGAACGCUGGCGGCAUGCUUUACACAUGCAAGUCGAACGGGGUUAAGGGGCUUGCUCCUUAAUCUAGUGGCGAACGGGUGAGUAAUGCAUCGGAACGUACCCGGGAGUGGGGGAUAACGCACCGAAAGGUGUGCUAAUACCGCAUAUUCUGUGAGCAGGAAAGCAGGGGACCUUAGGGCCUUGUGCUUCCGGAGCGGCCGAUGUCGGAUUAGCUAGUUGGUGAGGUAAAGGCUCACCAAGGCGACGAUCCGUAGCGGGUCUGAGAGGAUGAUCCGCCACACUGGGACUGAGACACGGCCCAGACUCCUACGGGAGGCAGCAGUGGGGAAUUUUGGACAAUGGGCGCAAGCCUGAUCCAGCCAUGCCGCGUGUCUGAAGAAGGCCUU
rnacentral:rRNA from 1 species